rnacentral:rRNA from 1 species
GACGAACGCUGGCGGCGUGCCUAAUACAUGCAAGUAGAACGCUGAAGCGAGGAGCUUGCUCUUCUUGGAUGAGUUGCGAACGGGUGAGUAACGCGUAGGUAACCUGCCUUGUAGCGGGGGAUAACUAUUGGAAACGAUAGCUAAUACCGCAUAACAAUAGGUGACACAUGUCAUUUAUUUGAAAGGGGCAAUUGCUCCACUACAAGAUGGACCUGCGUUGUAUUAGCUAGUAGGUGAGGUAACGGCUCACCUAGGUGACGAUACAUAGCCGACCUGAGAGGGUGAUCGGCCACACUGGGACUGAGACACGGCCCAGACUCCUACGGGAGGCAGCAGUAGGGAAUCUUCGGCAAUGGGGGCAACCCUGACCGAGCAACGCCGCGUGAGUGAAGAAGGGUUUCGGAUCGUAAAGCUCUGUUGUAAGUCAAGAACGAGUGUGAGAGUGGAAAGUUCACACUGUGACGGUAGCUUACCAGAAAGGGACGGCUAACUACGUG